CAAGGGUGUAUGGUGGAUGGCUUGACAAAACAUGCUGAUGAAGGACGUAGCAGUCUGCGAUAAGCUUCGGUGAGGUGACAAGCAACCUUUGACCCGGAGAUGUCCGAAUGGGGAAACCCGGCUGGGGUAAUGCCCAGUCACUGUGCACUAAAUACAUAGGUGUACAGGAGGCACCCAGGGAAGUGAAACAUCUCAGUACCUGGAGGAAAAGAAAAUAACGAGUACUAUUCUCAUCUUGACGCUCGACCUAGUCGAGAAUCGAGAUGACGAAUAGUUGCUUACAUUCCCAAAGUAGUGGCGAGCGAAAUGGGAUCAGCCUAAACCAACCAAGUGAAAUACGCUGAAGUAUCUCUUCGGAUGAUCUUUAGUGGAAUCUUCUGGAAAGAAGAACCAAAGAAGGUGAUAGUCCUGUACGCAAAAAGGAUGCAUCUACAUACGGUCUGGCACUUAAGUACGGCGGGACACGUGAAAUCCUGUCGGAAUCUGCCGCGACUAUGCGGCAAGGCUAAAUACAUGUUUUGAUCGAUAGUGUACUAGUACCGUGAGGGAAAGCUGAAAAGAACCCCGAGAGGGGAGUGAAAUAGAAUCUGAAACCAUAUACCUACAAAGAGUCGGAGCUCUGCCUUCGGGCGGGGUGACGGCGUUCCUAUUGAAGAAUGAGCCAACGAGUUCGUGUCUGUUGCAGGUUAAGUCCUUCGGGAUGGAGCCAAAGUGAAAGCAAGCCUUAACGGGCGUUUGUAUCAGACAUGAGACCCGAAACCGAGUGACCUAACCAUGGCCAGGGUGAAGCCAGUGUAAAAGCUGGUGGAGGCCCGAACCCACGUGCCGUGCAAAACACGGGGAUGAGCUGUGGUUAGCGGAGAAAUUCCAAUCGAACUCGGUAAUAGCUGGUUCUCCUCGAAAUAUGUUUAGGCAUAGCGUCGGUUAAUAGCGUGUUGGGGGUAGAGCACUGAUUGGGAUUGGCGCCUUCGGGUAGCCGUCCUAGCCAAACUCCGAAUACCAAUACGCGUUCCCGGCAGUCAGACCAUGGGGGCGAAGCUCCAUUGGUCAAAAGGGAAAGAACCCUGAUCUCAAGCUAAGGUCCCAAAGUGAUUACUAAGUGUAAAAGGUGGUGGGGAGACUUAUACAACCAGGAGGUUGGCUUAGAAGCAGCCAUCCUUUAAAGAUAGCGUAACAGCUCACUGGUCAAGUUUCCCUGCGCCGAAAAUAUACCGGGGCUAAGUAAUUCACCGAAGCUGAGGGUGUGAUGUUUCUUCGGAAACAUUACGCGGUAGAGGAGCAUUCCUAUUGCGCUGAAGUUGAGUCGUAAGGCUUGGUGGAGCGAUAGGAAGUGAGAAUGUUGGCAUGAGUAGCAUAAAGACAGGUGAGAACCCUGUCCGUCGAAAGCCCAAGGUUUCCACAGUAACGAAAAUCGUCUGUGGGUUAGUCGGGUGCUAAGGCGAGGCCGAAAGGCGUAGUCGAUGCACAGCAGGUUAAUAUUCCUGCACCGCGUUAUUGUUCUAAUGGGGGGACGUUUACCAAAGUUUCCUGUGUCCUAUGGCUAUGACACUGGGGGCUUGGGGUGGACUGGUAGGAAAAUCCGCCAGUCACAACACUCUGAGUCAUCGCGACCCCGCUUUUGCGGGGGAGAGGAAAGGAUGGUGAACCAAGAAAAGCCUCUAGGGUUAACAAUAAUGCGCCCGUACCAAAUCCGACACAGGUAGGCGGGUGUAAAUGCACUAAGACGUACGAGAGAAACAUUGUUAGGGAACUCGGCAAAACAGCGGCCGUAACUUCGGGAUAAGGCCUGGUUUUCCUCGGGAGAGGAAGACCCACAGCUAAUGACUACAAGCGACUGUUUAUCAAAAACACAGGUCCCUGCUAAACCGUAAGGUGAUGUAUAGGGGCUGAUGCCUGGCCAGUGUCCGAACGUUAAAGAAGUGGGUUAUCCCGCCUUUGGGCGGGAAAAGCUUGCGACUGAAGCGCGGAUGAACGCCGGCCGUAACUAUAACGGUCCUAAGGUGUGAGGAAACAAAAAGAGCGAAAUUCCUUGUCGGGUGAGUUCCGACCUGCACGAAUGGCAUAACGACUUGUAGACUGUCCCAACAAUGUACUCGGCGAAAUUGCGUGGGGAGUGAAGAUGCUCUCUAUGCGUAGUUGGACGAAAAGACCCCGUGAAGCUUUACUACAACUUGUCAUUGGAUUUAUGUUUCACAUGUUCAGCAUAGGUGGGAGCCCUCGGGCACCAGUGAGAUACCACCCUUGUGUUGUGUGAAUUCUAACCGGCAGCCAUGAAUCUGGCAGCUGGGACAGUGACUGGUGGGUAGUUUUACUGGGGCGGUAGCCUCCCAAAAAGUAACGGAGGCGUUUACAAAGGUUGGCUUAGCCCGGAUGGAAAUCGGGCUGAAUGUGCAAGCGCAGAAGCCAGCUUUACUGCAAGACUGACGCGUCGCGCAGUUGCGAAAGCAGAAGCUAGUGAUCCGACCGUUCGAUAUAGGACGGCGGAAGCUCAACGGAUAAAAGCUACUCCGGGGAUAACAGGCUAGUCUUGCCCAAGCGUCCACAGCGACGGCAAGGUUCGGCACCUCGAUGUCGGCUCAUCGCAUCCUGGGGGUGAAGAAGCUCCCAAGGGUUAGGCUGUUCGCCUAUUAAAGCGGUACGCGAGCUGGGUUCAGAACGUCGUGAGACAGUUCGGUCUCCUAUCCACUACGCACGUUGAAGAUUGAAAGGACUCAUCCCUAGUACGAGAGGACCGGGAUGAACUGACCUCUGGUGUACCAGUUGUUCCGCCUGGAGCAUGGCUGGGUAGCUACGUCGGGUUCGGAUAACCGCUGAAAGCAUCUAAGCGGGAAGUCGACCUUAAGAUUAAUCUUCUUAGACACCUCAGAGACUAUGAGGUUGAUAGGCACUAGGUGUAAGCUCGGUAACGAGUUCAGCCAAGGUGUACUAAUUGGUCAUAUGGCUC
rnacentral:rRNA from 3 species